AAGCGGAAAUGGUCAAGGGAAAACGGGGCCCAAAAGGACCAAAAAAUGAGUGUCAGACGUAUCAGGAAGGAGUGCAAGUCCUCAUUGUC